rnacentral:rRNA from 1 species
GCUAAGGUCCCAAAAUAAUUGUUAAGUGGAAAAGGAUGUGGGGUUGCACAGACAACUAGGAUGUUAGCUUAGAAGCAGCUAUUCAUUCAAAGAGUGCGUAAUAGCUCACUAGUCGAGUGACCCUGCGCCGAAAAUGUACCGGGGCUAAAACAAUUUACCGAAGCUGUGGAUACCUUUAUAGGUAUGGUAGGAGAGCGUUCUAUGUGUGGAGAAGGUGUACCGUGAGGAGCGCUGGAACGCAUAGAAGUGAGAAUGCCGGUAUGAGUAGCGAAAGACAGGUGAGAAUCCUGUCCACCGUAAGACUAAGGUUUCCAGGGGAAGGCUCGUCCGCCCUGGGUUAGUCGGGACCUAAGGAGAGACCGAAAGGUGUAUCCGAUGGACAACAGGUUGAUAUUCCUGUACUAGAGUAUGUAGUGAAGGAGGGACGCAGUAGGCUAACUAAAGCGUGCGACUGGAAGUGCACGUCUAAGCAGUGAGGUGUGAAUUGAGUUAAAUGCUUAAUUCUAUAACAUUGAGCUGUGAUGGGGAGCGAAGUUUAGUAGCGAAGUUAGUGACGUCACACUGCCAAGAAAAGCUUCUAGCGUUUAAACAUACUCUACCCGUACCGCAAACCGACACAGGUAGUCGAGGCGAGUAGCCUCAGGUGAGCGAGAGAACUCUCGUUAAGGAACUCGGCAAAAUGACCCCGUAACUUCGGGAGAAGGGGUGCUGGCUUAAAGUCAGCCGCAGUGAAUAGGCCCAAGCAACUGUUUAUCAAAAACACAGCUCUCUGCUAAAUCGUAAGAUGAUGUAUAGGGGGUGACGCCUGCCCGGUGCUGGAAGGUUAAGAGGAGUGCUUAGCGUAAGCGAAGGUAUGAAUUGAAGCCCCAGUAAACGGCGGCCGUAACUAUAACGGUCCUAAGGUAGCGAAAUUCCUUGUCGGGUAAGUUCCGACCCGCACGAAAGGCGUAAUGAUUUGGGCACUGUCUCAACGAGAGACUCGGUGAAAUUUUAGUACCUGUGAAGAUGCAGGUUACCCGCGACAGGACGGAAAGACCCCAUGGAGCUUUACUGCAGUUUGAUAUUGAGUGUCUGUGCCACAUGUACAGGAUAGGUAGGAGCCAUUGAGAUCGGGACGCCAGUUUCGAUGGAGGCGUUGUUGGGAUACUACCCUUGUGUUAUGGCCACUCUAACCCGGUAGGUUCAUCAUCUACGGAGACAGUGUCUGACGGGCAGUUUGACUGGGGCGGUCGCCUCCUAAAAGGUAACGGAGGCGCCCAAAGGUUCCCUCAGAAUGGUUGGAAAUCAUUCGCAGAGUGUAAAGGUAUAAGGGAGCUUGACUGCGAGAGCUACAACUCGAGCAGGGACGAAAGUCGGGCUUAGUGAUCCGGUGGUUCCGUAUGGAAGGGCCAUCGCUCAACGGAUAAAAGCUACCCUGGGG